rnacentral:rRNA from 1 species
GACGAACGCUGGCGGCGUGCUUAACACAUGCAAGUCGAACGGAAAGGCCCUGCUUUCGUGGGGUGCUCGAGUGGCGAACGGGUGAGUAACAUGUGAGUAACCCGCCCUUGACUGGGGGAUAACUUCAGGAAACUGGGGCUAACACCUGCUAGGAGCUCCUGCUGCAUGGUGGGGGUUGGAAAGCUUAGGCGGUUUGGGAUGGACUGGCGGGUUAACAGCUUGUUGGUGGGGUAGUGGCUUACCAAGGCUUUGACGGGUAGCCGGCCUGGGAGGUGGACCGGCCACCUGGGGACUGAGGUACGGCCCAGACUCCUACGGGAGGCAGCGGUGGAGAAUAUUGCACAGUGGGCGGAAGCCUGAUGAGGCAACGCCGCGUGCGGGAUGACGGCCUUCGGGUUGUAAACCGCUUUCGCCUGUGACGAAGCGUGAGUGACGGUAAUGGGUAAAGAAGCACCGGCUAACUACGUG